UUCGAAGAUACACGAAGAACCUUACCUGGCCUUGACAUGGUAGGAACCCUUAAGAGAUUAGGGGUGCUAGCUUGCUAGAACCUACACACAGGUGCUGCACGGCUGUCGUCAGCUCGUGUCGUGAGAUGUUGGGUUAAGUCCCGCAACGAGCGCAACCCUCGUCCUUAGUUGCUAACAGUUCGGCUGAGCACUCUAGGGAGACUGCCUUCGCAAGGAGGAGGAAGGUGAGGACGACGUCAAGUCAUCAUGGCCCUUACGGCCAGGGCUACACACGUGCUACAAUGGGGCGUACAGAGAGCUGCGAUACCGCGAGGUGGAGCCAAUCUCUUAAAGCGUCUCUCAGUUCGGAUUGUUCUCUGCAACUCGAGAACAUGAAGCUGGAAUCACUAGUAAUCGCAGAUCAGCUAUGCUGCGGUGAAUACGUUCCCGGGUCUU
rnacentral:rRNA from 1 species